AAUAACCUUAUUUUUCGUUUUUUCGUAUCCAACGUUUUACCAUUCGUUUUAUUUGAAUUUUUUUUGCGAUUAAUAUUUUUAUUGUUACUAGAUAAAAUAUGAAUAGUACUUUAUAUGUGACUUUUUUUAAGUUUUUUUAUAAAUUUUUUAAAUAAGACGAAUGGUCAAACGUUGGACACGAAAAACAAAAAAUUGAGGUAAA
rfam:Oryza brachyantha chromosome 3, whole genome shotgun sequence.